GACGAACGCUGGCGGCGUGCUUAACACAUGCAAGUCGAGCGGUAAGGCCCUUUCGGGGGUACGACGAGCGGCGAACGGGUGAGUAACACGUGGGUGACCUGCCCUCAGCUCUGGGAUAAACCUGGGAAACCGGGUCUAAUACUGGAUAUGACUCCAUGACGCAUGUUGUGGGGUGGAAAGCCUUGUGCGGCUGAGGAUGGGCCCGCGGCCUAUCAGCUUGUUGGUGGGGUGAUGGCCUACCAAGGCGACGACGGGUAGCCGGCCUGAGAGGGCGACCGGCCACACUGGGACUGAGACACGGCCCAGACUCCUACGGGAGGCAGCAGUGGGGAAUCUUGCGCAAUGGGCGAAAGCCUGACGCAGCGACGCCGCGUGAGGGAUGACGGCCUGUGUAA
rnacentral:rRNA from 1 species